rnacentral:tRNA from 1 species
AACCUUAGGUUAAACUAAACCCUGGACCUUCAAAGCCCAAAAUAGGAGGCA